GGCGAGAUAGCCAAGUGGUCUACGGCGUAUGGUUCAGGCUUAGUCAUGAUUUAUAAUGAUUCCUAAUCCAUAUCUCUUCGGGGGCGUGGGUUCGAAUCCCACUCUCGUCA